UACGGAGGGGGCUAGCGUUGUUCGGAAUUACUGGGCGUAAAGCGCGCGUAGGCGGCUUUGUAAGUUAGAGGUGAAAGCCCGGAGCUCAACUCCGGAACUGCCUUUAAGACUGCAUCGCUAGAAUUGUGGAGAGGUGAGUGGAAUUCCGAGUGUAGAGGUGAAAUUCGUAGAUAUUCGGAAGAACACCAGUGGCGAAGGCGACUCACUGGCCCGAUACUGACGCUGAGGCACGAAAGCGUGGGGAGCAAACAGG
rnacentral:rRNA from 1 species